GAUGAACGCUAGCGGCAGGCCUAACACAUGCAAGUCGAGGGAGAAGCCCUUUCGGGGGCAGAAACCGGCGCACGGGUGCGUAACGCGUAUGCAACCUACCUUUCACAGGGGGAUAGCCCGAAGAAAUUUGGAUUAAUACCCCAUAAUAUUAUUGGAUGGCAUCAUUUGAUAAUUAAAACUGCGGUGGUGAAAGAUGGGCAUGCGUCCUAUUAGCUAGUUGGAGUGGUAACGGCACCCCAAGGCUACGAUAGGUAGGGGUCCUGAGAGGGAGAUCCCCCACACUGGUACUGAGACAGGGACCAGAAUCCUACGGGAGGCAGCAGUGAGGAAUAUUGGUCAAUGGUCGGAAGACUGAACCAGCCAUGCCGCGUGCAGGAAGAAUGCCUUAUGGGUUGUAAACUGCUUUUAUAUGGGAAGAAUAAGGCGUACGUGUACGUUGAUGACGGUACCAUAUGAAUAAGCAUCGGCUAACUCCGUG
rnacentral:rRNA from 1 species